rnacentral:ncRNA from 1 species
AUAAAAACGUUGAAGAAAACAUGUCGCUUGACAAGUUAUGUUAAAAGAGAGCCAAUGUUGGUGUAAGUUGGCAACAUAAGUUAGGUGGUACUAUUUCCGAGUGUGCUGUGAUAUAAAUGGCAACGUUUCCCGCGUUAAGGGAUAUGAGUGUAGCAGUUAUGCUGUUAUGAAUUCGGGUGGUACCGCGUACAAGCGCCCCGUUA